GACGAACGCUGGCGGCGUGCUUAACACAUGCAAGUCGAACGAAGAGCGAUGGAAGCUUGCUUCUAUCAAUCUUAGUGGCGAACGGGUGAGUAACGCGUAAUCAACCUGCCCUUCAGAGGGGGACAACAGUUGGAAACGACUGCUAAUACCGCAUACGAUCCAAUCUCGGCAUCGAGACUGGAUGAAAGGUGGCCUCUAUUUAUAAGCUAUCACUGAAGGAGGGGAUUGCGUCUGAUUAGCUAGUUGGAGGGGUAACGGCCCACCAAGGCGAUGAUCAGUAGCCGGUCUGAGAGGAUGAACGGCCACAUUGGGACUGAGACACGGCCCAGACUCCUACGGGAGGCAGCAGUGGGGAAUCUUCCGCAAUGGACGAAAGUCUGACGGAGCAACGCCGCGUGAGUGAUGACGGCCUUCGGGUUGUAAAGCUCUGUUAAUCGGGACGAAUGGUUCUUGUGCGAAUAGUGCGAGGAUUUGACGGUACCGGAAUAGAAAGCCACGGCUAACUACGUGCCAGCAGCCGCGGUAAUACGUAGGUGGCAAGCGUUGUCCGGAAUUAUUGGGCGUAAAGGGCUUGUAGGCGGCUGGUCGCGUCUGCCGUGAAAUCCUCUGGCUCAACUGGGGGCGUGCGGUGGGUACGGGCUGGCUUGAGUGCGGUAGGGGAGGCUGGAACUCCUGGUGUAGCGGUGGAAUGCGCAGAUAUCAGGAAGAACACCGGUGGCGAAGGCGGGUCUCUGGGCCGUUACUGACGCUGAGGAGCGAAAGCGUGGGGAGCGAACAGG
rnacentral:rRNA from 1 species